AGCGACAGGCCUAACACAUGCAAGUCGAGGGGCAGCACAAGGAGCAAUCUGAGGUGGCGACCGGCGCACGGGUGAGUAACACGUAUGCAACCUGCCUGUAAGCGGGGAAUAACCCGUUGAAAGACGGACUAAUACCGCAUAAUACUAAAUUACUGCAUGGUAAUUUAUUUAAACAUUUAUGGCUUACAGAUGGGCAUGCGCAUGAUUAGCUAGUUGGAGAGGUAACGGCUCCCCAAGGCAACGAUCAUUAGGGGUUCUGAGAGGAAGGUCCCCCACACUGGUACUGAGACACGGACCAGACUCCUACGGGAGGCAGCAGUGAGGAAUAUUGGUCAAUGGACGAGAGUCUGAACCAGCCAAGUCGCGUGCAGGAAGAAUGUUCCCUAUGGAUUGUAAACUGCUUUUGCAGGGGAAUAAAGUGCAUCACGUGUGAUGUUUUGUAUGUACUCUGCGAAUAAGGAUCGGCUAACUCCGUGCCAGCAGCCGC
rnacentral:rRNA from 1 species